CCUACGGGAGGCUGCAGUGAGGAAUAUUGGUCAAUGGGCGCGAGCCUGCACCAGCCAAGUAGCGUGCAGGAUGACUGCCCUACGGGUUGUAAACUUCUUUUAUAAGGGAGUAAAGUUAGGCACGUGUGCGUUUUUGUAUGUACUUUAUGAAUAAGGAUCGGCUAAGUCCGUGACAGCAGCCGCGGUAAUACGGUGGAUCCGAGAUUUGUCCGGUUUUAUUGGGUUUAAAGGGAGCGUAGAUGGGUUGUUAAGUCAGUUGUGAAAGUUUGCGGCUCAACCGUAAAAUUGCAAUUGAUACUGGCAGACUUGAGUACAGUUGAGGUAGGCGGAAUUCGUGGUGUAGCGGUGAAAUGCUUAGAUAUCACGAAGAACUCCGAUUGCGAAGGCAGCUUACUAAACUGCCACUGACAUUGAUGCUCGAAAGUGUGGGUAUCAAACAGGAUUAGAUACCCUUGUAGUC
rnacentral:rRNA from 1 species